GCUGCUGUAGCUUAACGGUAAAGCGUUCGCUUGGUAAGCGGAAGGAUAUGGGUUCGACUCCCAUCGGUAGCU
rnacentral:tRNA from 1 species